rnacentral:rRNA from 1 species
UUUCAGCAACGGAUCUCUUGGCUCUCGCAUCGAUGAAGAACGCAGCGAAAUGCGAUAAGUAAUGUGAAUUGCAGAAUUCAGUGAAUCAUCGAAUCUUUGAACGCACCUUGCGCUCCUUGGUAUUCCGAGGAGCAUGCCUGUUUGAGUGUCAUGAAAUC